GUCUAUGGCUCUUGUUUAGAGGCAUGCACCAGAUCCUAUCUGAUCAUGGAAACUAAGCAGGGACAGGCCUGGUUAGUAAUUGGAUGGGAGUCUUCCAACGAAAACUAGAAGCUGCAGACU
rnacentral:rRNA from 11 species